GGGCCGGCACGGUUCUGACGUGUCGCAGCUGGCUGCUUGCUGCCUGUGCUGCGCGGGUGCCCGCGGGUUAAAUUGUUCCGAGGGUCCCACCUGGGGCGACCUAAAGCUGGGAAUCGUGGGCUCCGAGCGGCGGCGAAAAGCGGCCUCGGUGCCCUCCGAGAAGCGGAGUAUACGGAGGGAGGGAUUUGGAGAGUUCUGCUUCGCAGAUCCUGAAACGUUCAGUGCUCCAGAGAGAUAAAGCAGCCGUCAAAGUGCACACGCUGUCUUCAGCAGUAUCGGCUUUCAAGUUCUAAUCCAGUAAAUAGAAUCACAGAAUAAUAGAAUGUUAAGGCAUUGGAAAGAAUCUUAAAGAUCAUCUAGUCUCAACGCCCCCUGCCAUGGGCAGAGACACCUCCCACUAGGUAAGGUUGCUCAAGGCCUUGUCCGACUUGGCCUUGAACACUGCCAGGGUUGGGGUAUCCGCAACCUCCUGGGCAACCUGUUUCAGUGUCUCACCACCUCACAGUAAAAAAUUUCUUCCUAAUAUCUAAACUAAAUUUCCCCUCUUUCAAUUUGUACCCUUUAUAACUUGUACUGUCACUACAAUUCCUGAUGCAUAGUCCCUCUCCAGCUUCCCUGUAAGCCCCCUUCAGAUGCUGGAAGGUCUCCACACAACCUUCACUUUUCCAGACUGGACAGCCCCAACUUUCUCAGCCUUUCCCAGUUUACAGAUUCACAGGAAUAACACAAAAAUAACCCCCAUUCUUAUUAUAUUAAUGUUAAGUUCUGUGGCAAAUGAGAUGGACUAGGGAAAAGAAAAUUUGGGUCCAAUCUCCCAGGCAGGAGCAUGAUCUUGUAAUCUGGAGUAGAUCUGGAGUCCCAUUUUGCUCCCCUGGAAAAGGAGUCUUAUGUAAGCUUGUUAAACCUGUGAUUUUCACCUUCAGCACUGCGUAAGGAACCUGGGCAUCAGUUUGAGGACUGUGGAUUUCACAGGACAGAGAAAUAGGUGGAAGCAACUGCAGAAAGACUGAAGAAACUUCCAAAGUAGAAUGAAUUCAGAUGUCUGUGUUUCUUCUUCUCUGCUCAGUAGCUGAGUCAAGUUUCAGAUCUUUUCUCCUGAGAAGCAGCCUUGAAGAACUCUGGCACCUGCAAAAAACACUGAGUGGCAGUCAAGUAUACUGACACAGUUUAAUCACACAGUUUCAGUGUGAUUUGUGCAAAGUCAUGCUGUGGAGGAAAAAAUCACCAGACCUGAAAACUGCUUGAAUUUAUCCUUUUUUUCAAGGUUCAGUGCAUUUUCUAACCUCUGUUCUCCUGUUUUCAAAACUGCAGUGAACAAGAAGUGAGCUUGUUUGAGUCUAAAAAGUCAGCGUGCUACUGUCUGUGCUCAUAUUAAUUGAUUACAUAAAAGCCAAAACACAUCCAAACAGUACACACCAAGAAAAUAACACAUUCCAGUAAAAGUUCUAGAUGAAACCCAAAUUUAGGUGCACCCAAAAUUAAGUAUUUACUGUACUUCCACAUUUACAGCUUCACAGAGAAACAGACUGAGAGCUGCUGCAGUACAGGGAGUUGGCCAUCAUGGAAUCAGAAGGGAGACUAUUGGGAAAGUUGUGACCCCAGCUACCAUCUGAAAGACCCCACAAUGCACUCUUGUGGAGUCAGUUCUAAGUCUUACUGAAGAGAAGAAUUUGUGAAUCUGUAUUCAUGAAAACACAGUCCUUUGAUUUUCAAUGUCUUUUUAAAAUAUUUGUAAGUAAGAGCGUCAGACAGAUAAGAAGUCUUUUCCUUUUUUUUUUUAAUUCAGUGGGGCCGCCCACGUUGCACUGCCCAAGACAAGACUUACGCAGGCAUGGACCUUCUGCUCUUCCUGUAACACACAAGAGGGAGCGCUUGGUCACCACAACUUUCAUAGAACCACAGGGUCAUAGAACGGUUUGGCUUGAAUGGCAACUUUAAAGGUCAUUUAGUCCACCCCCUGGCAUUAAGCAGGGACAUAUUCAACUAAAUCAGGUUGCUCGGAGCCCUGUCCAACCUGACCUUGAGUGUUUCCAGAGAUGGGGCACCUCCCAGUUCUCUAGGCAACCUAUGCCAGUGUUUCACCACCUUCAUUGUAAAAAUCUUCUUUCUUAUUUAUAGUCUAAAUCUACCCUCUUUCAGUUUAAAAUCAUUACCCCUUUCCUUUGCUCUUCUCAGUUUUUGGUUAAAGUAUAUCCUGUGCCUAGGUUUUUCUUACUUUAAAAUGAACUCUUUCAAUUCAGUGAUAAAUGGACAUCAGAAAGCUAAAAAAGUUUAAAGUAAAAUAGUGGCAAUCUCAACCUUACAUUAUGUUGACAUAGCUCAACUGAAUGAGCUACAAUACCCAAGGCUUCCCCAUUGGUUAGGCUUACAGUUCAGCAGGGAAGCCACACUUCAGAUUCCAGGACUCUCCAGCAGUGAGGCUUACAAGCACUUCUGAGCGGGGAGCUGCAAAAGCUGCUCCAUAGGAAAUGAAGAAAUGUUACUCCAUGAGAAAUGUCUGAUAUUUCUGUAUUCUGUGUUCUGACAUCCAUGGCAAAUGUAACCUGCUCUCAGCAAUCUCAUCUUUGGUUAACAUCAACAGCUCCCAAUCGUCUCCAGAGACAGGUGCCUUCAUCAGCCCUGUUACACAGCAUACAGAGCUGGAGUGAGACAGUAGGACCAUCCCAAUGGUUUCAGUUUCAUUAGGACUUAGAGCGCUCAGGGUAUGUGAAAGACCAGUUCCUGUUUGUUUUCUGUCUAAAAAACAGACUGGACUUCAGUGGACUUUGUGAAGAGGAGAGAUCGGGGAGGGGUGAAAAACCCCAGGAAGAAACAGACAAUGAAAGGCUGACUGCACUGAAGUAGAUAGGAAAAUCAAAGGAUGUCCUGGCCAGAUUUUACAUGAAGAAUCUGAAGAUUCCAGACAUCCUUCUGAAAGCACUCCUCCCAGUGGCUCACCUUUUGUUUUGGUUUAUUUUUUUUUCUGAAGUCAUGGCUGAAUUUUGAUAAUCCUGUUACACUUUACCUAAUUAAAGAAAGACUUGUUCUUUCAUAUGUGCACUUUUAUUCACUUAGAUUUAUGGUAUUUACAAUAUGCUAUAAAACAUCCAUGCUGAUUUGGGCUGUGAUGGAGUUAAUUUUCUUCACAGUAUCUAGUAUGGGGAUGGGUUUGGGACUUGUCCUGGAAACUGUGUUGAUAAUUCAGGAAUGUUUUCCUUGCUGCUGAGCAGUACUUAUGCAAAGCCAAGGCCUUUUCUGCUCUUCACUCCACCCCAGCAGCAAGUGGAUUGGGGGCACACAAGGAGCUGGUAAGGGGACACAGCCAGAACAGCUGACCCCAGCUGACCCAAGGGGUAUUCCAUACUAUAUGGCGUCAUGCUCAGCUUAUAAAGCUGGGGGAUGAAGAAGGAAGAGAGGGAUAUUUAGAGAGAUAGCAUUUGUAGUCCCAAGUCACCCUUAUCCAUGAUGAAGCUUGGCUUUCCUGGAGCUGGCUGAACACCUGCCUGCCCAUGGGAAGGAGUGAAUUAUUUCCUUGUUUUGCUUUGCUUGCAUGUGUGGCUUUUGCUUUGCCUAUUAGACUGUCUGUAUCUCAAGCCACAAGCUUUCUUGCUUUUACCCUUCCAAUUCUCUCCCUUAUCGCAUUUGGUGGGAGGAAACAAGCGGCUAUAGGGGACUGAGUGGCCACUUGGGGUUAAACCAUGACAACACUUACUAUCUGUACACUUAUACGUAGUCGGUCUAAUAAAAUACAUCGCUCUGUACAGAAA